UACGAAGGGGGCUAGCGUUGUUCGGAAUUACUGGGCGUAAAGCGCGCGCAGGCGGCUAUCCAAGUCAGUGGUGAAAGCCCGGAGCUCAACUCCGGAACUGCCAUUGAAACUGUUUAGCUUGAGGACGAGAGAGGUGAGUGGAAUUCCCAGUGUAGAGGUGAAAUUCGUAGAUAUUGGGAAGAACACCGGUGGCGAAGGCGGCUCACUGGCUCGUAUCUGACGCUCAGGCGUGACAGCGUGGGGAUCAAACAGG
rnacentral:rRNA from 1 species